rnacentral:rRNA from 1 species
CUCUAUGGCCUUACCACCCUGAAUGUGCCUAUGUCAUCUGAUCUCGGAAGCUAGGCAGGGUCGGGCCUGGUUAGUACUUAGAUGGGAGAAUUUGCCAGGUAAACCAAAUAUUUCUUGGGU